AAUAUUGAUGUCAGGACAAUUAAUUUAGGGACUGUAUAUAACCUUAAUAUAACUUUUUUGGCAGGCAGGCCUACUCUGCUUUCGUUUCGUUCACUACACUGCGUUUCUCUCUCUCUCUCGUUUGGCAUCGGCUGUGGGCUUCGCCUUCGGCGAUGACGGCCCCCAACAUCGAGACGAUCGCCGCCUCGCUGAGGAGCUGCUCGUUGGGGGGAGGCGGACGAGCCGAGCAGUCGCUGCCGCGGCCGCACCUCGUGGGGGCCAGCGGCGAGAGCAAUGAGGGGAUCACGGUGGAGUUGAACUCGGACGCCGCCCUCCCGUACCACCUUGACAUGCUGUUUGCAGUGUGCUUGGGAUUUUGCAGAUCAAUCAAUAAACCCUCCCAUCUCAUCACUCGUUAUCAUUUGGCCAAAUGAUCCCAAAUAACUAGCUGAGAGAUGACAAAUCAUCGAUGAUCGUGGUUGAAGUUGGAAGAACUUUCUCAGCCGUGCAACACCUGACGCAGGUAUUAAUUAUCGAACUAGUUUACCUGUAGAAGCUAAAACCUGAUCUCUCUCUCAAAUGGUGGCUUCUGGUUCUGCACUGCUGCAUGAAGUACCAGGUAGGGUUAGCGACAAUGAAGAAGAGUUCUGGGUCCCGCAUGAAGGAUAAAAGCCUCUUAGAGUAGCCAAGGAGACUGCCUACAGAAAACUCAAUACAAUUCAUGAUGUGCUUCGAUGGCAUGCAUCCUUGAAGAGACUGUAGGCAAGUCAUCCUUGGCUUGACAAAGACACUCUUAUCCUCAUGGAAGACCCUUCUUCUGCUCCAUAAUUUCAUAUAACAUAUUCUCUUGAUCUUCUCGGAUCAGUUUUCUGCAACUACACAAUCCUGUGCACAAAAAGAGAGACAUCAAGUUAGCAAUAUCUUCCUAGUUUAAUCCUUGGGAACAGUUCUAGUUGACAAGAGAUACAUUGACCUUGUUAGGUCUUUCAAGUUGGCAGGAGAUGACUUUAUCCAAGUCACAAGGAUUAGCAACUUGCUCAAAGUUGGAAAAGGACUCCAAAUCUUUCUGGAAAAAAUGUGUAUCUUCGUGAACUUUUUGUCUUGUCAUGCCUGGUGGCUAUACUAUUGGAAUCCAAUAGAUAUCAAUGAUAUCCACCACUUGCUCCCUCCAAAUCGCAUGACCCUUUGUGCAGGUUCUUACUGUUUAUUCUGAAGAGACGACCACUUAGCCUGCAUUACUCUGUCCCAAAUCUUAACCCAAUCAAUCGAAGCAUACAUGGCACCUGAUAGCUUAGACAUUAAAGCUUUCAUUCCAUGGAUUGGAGUCAUUGAACAGCAACACCACAGUCACUGCUCUGUUACACAGCUUUCAACCUUGGGCUUAGCUUUGUCUAUGCCCUGUCAAGAGCAAUUUCCAGGUGAACCAGUGAUCAGAACACUGACAGGUGUUUGCAGAGUAAUAUAUGGGAGGAAGAAAGAGCAGAAGGCGGUCACAUCUUUGAAAGUAAUGCAUGCUGCAUGAGUCCUAGAUUCUGUAAUUAAUAUGUCAGUCUUUAUCACUUCAUAUCUCCAUAAGCACAUGCAACUGUGUCUUCCACUAAAGAGCAUCGAGUCUUGGAAAUUCUUCUUAAACAGUUGCUCACUUUAUUCUCUUAUAUGCUGCAAAGAUCUGGAAAUGCUUUUUCUGUGAAUGAUUGCCAGACUGACAGUGGUUUCAAUCAGGUGAAUAUAAUUCCAGGGUCAUUUGUGAGCUGUUCAUCUGAAUGAAUCUUGCCUGUUGUUUGUUCAUGCAGGCAAAAAGCCAUACUUUAGCCUGAGUGAAACCAGAAUCUACAUCCACAUGAUCAGGCAUCAAGUCAUGCCAAAAUCUUCUCUCUCUGCAACUUCAUGGCAAGAUCAUUACAUUAAUGUUGGCCAUGUGCUAAUCAUAUUUUACUGGCAGCUUAAUUAUUGGAAGGUACCUCUUAGACCCCUCCAAAAUAGUUUUUUUUAUUAUGUGCAGUACAUGUUAAGCAAAUCAAGGUAUAUAUAUAAUUUUCUAGUCCAUGAAUUAUAUAUACUCUUAUAUUCAUGCAUACUUGUCCUAAUGAUCUAUGUAUUAGCAUCUUAUGAGUUAGAAAUCUGUGUCUUUUGAUUUAUUCUCAUAAUCAUUUCUCAUCUCUCUCUUGAGCCAACUCAAGAUGUCAAACUCUCGUCUAUUCCACGAGAAUCUCUCUCUAUUAUCUUUGUUUUCUUACCUUUGCAGAUCUUUCUCUUCACUUGCCACAACAAUUGAUGUUUGCCCUGCCACCAGCUUCCUGUAAGUUGACUGACUUCAUGAGAAGAAGCAGUAACAAUUAACGCACAAAAUAUUUGUCCUACCAUCAUUGGCUCUCCUGCAUUAGUUGGUGGACACUGCAUUUUCUCCAGCAAAUUCCCAACGUUUGUUCAUGAAUGGAUGCCGAAAUAAUGUCACCAAAAUCGUAUACUGUGGAUGCAUAAUCGGUGGGUCAAAAUCACAUUUCCCAAAGUCAACACAAAGUGGCAUCCUCCUUUCCACGGGUCAACGAGCCACGCCACCGUGACAUCCACGUCAAAGCCAAAAAGCUUAAAACGUGCACCCAUAAUAUACCCAUCAUUCUUCCUCUGCCCUGCACAUGCGUUCUCCCCUGAAACCACCUGUUUCCUAACCCAAGCCCGUUUAUGCCCAGAAUCGCACCGCCGAGUUUAAUCACCCGAUUGGUGAUGUGCACGUGGGACCCACUUGACGUCGUUCACCGGGCGUCGUCGAGUCUUUUAAGAAGUGGAUGGAAAGGUGACCGCGACUCCUUGCCUCCGCUUUACACCGGCUUUGAUUCCUUCGCUUCUUUUGGCUUUCGGUUUGGAUUCCACUGUGAACACUGUGACUUGCGGCUGCUAUUCGUCCUUUUGCUGCUUUCCCGAUGUGCCCCCGUGUUGCUGCCGCCAUGGAGGCUGCGCUCCCCGCCGACGAUGGCGACGAGCUCCCCCGCUGCCGCCACCUCCUCGCCUCCCUUUCCGCCGCCGCUUCCACCGCCCAGUCGUUCCGCGGCCUCUGGUCCUCCGUCGCCUCCGCGGUCUCCCGCCUGUCCGCGGCCCUCGACGGCCUCGCCGCCCACUCCCCUAACCCCCUCGCCUCGGACCUUCUUCGCUCCCUCGCCCUGACACUCGCCCCAGCCCUCGCCCUCGCCAUCCGCUGCCGUUCCCCUGACCCUCCCGCCGCCAGGCUCCGCACCCAGAGCGAUAUCGCGGCCGCUUCCGCCGCCCUCCACCAGCUAGCCGCCGACGCCGACGUCCUGCUCGGCUCUGGCGCCCUCCUCGACCCGCCGUCGCCGCCGCUGGAGGCAGCGGGUGGGAGCUCCCGCCUCGAGUCCGUCCGGGCGGAGGCCAGAAGCCUCGUGACCCGCCUCCAGAUCGGGAGUUCCGCUUCGAGGAUCGCUGCCUUGGAUUCUCUGCUCGACCUGCUUCGAGAGGACGACAAGAACGUCGUAGUCGCCGCCGCCAGCGGGUUGGUGCCGGCGCUGGUCCGUCUCCUCGACUCCGCCGCUGGCUCCGCCUCCUGCCACGAGACGAGGGAGAAAGCUGCGGCGGCGAUCGCGAGGAUCUCGGCCGUGCAGAGCUGCCGCCACCUCCUGCUGGCGGAAGGCCCGCCCCUCCUCAAUCACCUCUCCCGCGUCCUGGAGUCCGAGGGAGGCGCCGCAAAGGAGAAGGCCUGCGUGGCCCUCCAAACCCUAACGCUAACUUGGGAAAACGCGGUCAUCAUCGGGUCCCGCGGCGGGAUCGCAGCCCUCCUUGGGAUCUGCCGCUCAGGAACGCCCUCCGCCCAGGCCACCGCAGCCGCAGUGCUGAAGAACCUCGCAAUGGUUCAAGAACUCCGGCAGAACUUCAUGGAAGAGAACGGUGUCCCCGUCCUCAUUAGGGUUUUGGCCUUCGGGACCCCUCUUGCCCAAGCGAACGCUGUCGGUUGCCUCUGUAAUCUAUCAGCCGGCGAAGAAUCGCAGAGCAUAAAGCUAUCUAUCUUCAAAGAAGGCGCUUUGGAAUGCCUAAAGAACCACUGGGAAGCAAGCGGCAGCGGAGAUGUUCAAAACCUCGAGGCUGCAAUCGGCUUACUAGGAAAUCUGGCAUCUUUUAGGUACAUUGCUGAGAUCGUUGCCACCGCUGGUUUGCUUCCUCGUGUCAUCUCUGCACUGGAGAACAGCCAGCCAGGAACAAGAACAGAGGCAGCCAAGGCAGUCGCCGAAUUGGGUUUGGUCAUAGGGAGGACGAGGAAGGAAUUCGGGGAUGCGGUGCCUCUACUGGUUCGCAUGUUGGAAGCCAAAGCUGGGGAGGAGAAGGAAGCUGCCGCGAGGGCUUUGGCUUCUCUGAUGUCAUUCCCGGAGUACCAAAGAUUAUUGAGGAAGGAGGAGAAGGGGAUUGUUAAUGUGGUUCAGCUCCUUGAUCCUUUAGUUCGUGAUUUGGAUAAGAGGUAUGCGAUAUCGGUAUUGGCAUUGAUUUCGCAGUCGAGCAAAUGCAGGAAGCAGAUGGUGGCUGCAGGAGCUUGCGGGUACCUUCAGAGACUAGUGGGGAUGGAGGUGGAUGGUGCAAAGAAGCUUCUUGAGAACUUGGGAAGGGGAAAGAUACUGGGAGUGUUUCCAAGAACAUAAGCUCACAGAGCCAGCAAGAAGGAUUCUAAGUUUGAAGGGUGCUGCUCCCUGAUCUAACAUGCAUUUUACGCACAUAGUUUGCGUAGUUUGUGAUUACUUGCUGCAUCACCAACAGGAUCUUCGUAGGAAAGACCUUGUGUUCCAUACUCUUUUUAGGUCAAGUAACGUUGCCAAGUGAAUCUUUGCGUCGAAGAAGUCCUUUCGGAGGGAAUCUACUGUUGUUAGCCCUUUUUCUUUUUUACAUUUUAUUGAAGAAAGACAAUGGAUAGCUUGUCUAACCUUUCCACCAACCGCAAUAUACAACAAGGCAUCAUGGAGCCUUUGGGAACUAAUUAUUUGGUCUAUUACCACAAGAAGAAUCAAAGGUGAAGAAAUUAUGAAAGAUCUAUUGGCAUAUGAGAUACAAUUCUUUCAGGCUUGCCCACUGAAACAACAUUGGGAUCUGCCUCCUCUGAAUGUCCUGUCCUUGUGCCUCCUAAUGCAGCAGGUAUGUAUUAUUUUGGAUUGCUCACAAUAGCUCAGUUGCAAUUUCUUUUAGAACUUGAUUAUUAUGUCCAAAUUAAUUAGCAUAUGAAUUGUUGGGAAACCCCACUUAGCCACUUAUGGAUGGAAUAUUUUGAUAUUUGAUUGAUGAAUUUACUCUUGAAUGUCUUACUCGAUAAAACCUUGUGCUUCUUCCAUGUCCUGACAACAGAGUUCUAAGCUUAUACAGUGAUGUAUCUUUAUACUUGACAGCAAUACCCUUUUCUCCAUUUGCUGUAUUGAUUUGCUUGUACCAAACUUGACACUCACCUAUUGGCUUUGCCAAUCUCAUAACCACAGUUUUGCAUCAUCAUUAUGUUUUGUUUAAAAUGGAGGCCUGACAAGUGAUGAGUGAAGAUAUAGACAACAAUGAUACCUCUAAAAAGUUGUUCCUGUCAAUACUUGUUGUCUGAAGCACAAGCUGGCUGAUCUCAUCCCUGAAUACACUACUAUAUUUGCUUCUGGUACUCUCAGGCUUCCCUCACCUAAACCUCUGGUUCAUUAAUAAGAACUGGAUCAGGUCACUGCAUUCUUCUCAUCCAAGUG